rfam:Macrostomum lignano unitig_47104, whole genome shotgun sequence.
UGACCUCGGAUCAGACGUGAUUACCCGCUGAAUUUAAGCAUAUUAUUAAGCGGAGGAAAAGAAACUAACAAGGAUUCCCCUAGUAACGGCGAGUGAACGGGGAAGAGCCCAACACGAAUCCCUUGGCGCAAGUCAACGGGAAAUGUGGUGUUAAGGUAGCCUUCGUGUCAGUCUAGGCGUCUCAAGUCCACCUGAUUGUGGCCUCAGCCCAGAGAGGGUGUAAGGCCGCGUAGAGACGCUCCGACUGAUUCCUGGGUUUACCUACGAGUCGGCUUGUUUUGGGAAUGCAGGCCAAAGCGGGUGGUAAAACUCCAUCCAAGGCUAAAUACUGCACGAGUCCGAUAGCGGACAAGUACCGUGAGGGAAAGUUUGAAAAGAACUUUGAAGAGAGAGUUCAAUAGUACGUGAAACCGCUUAGAGGCAAACGGAUGGUGCUCAUACUGGCCUGAGGAAUUCAACUGUGACGGUGGCUGGACGAGCUGGCGUUCCGAUCUCUCUUUGGGACGGGCGUCGGUUUGGCUAUCAGCUCCGACAUGGUGCACUUUCCUUGGUGCCUCCGCACGACCGACGACACUGGCUACCCGCGGCUGGGUAAGGUGACAAACUGCUUCGGCAAUUUGUGUUAUAGACCCCGGCGUCGGACAUGGUUUGGCCAGGACGUCGAGCUUGCGGCGCCCGCUCCUUGUGGGCUCGCAUGUUGGCUAGCUUGGCUGCGCCGAUGCUUGCACUGGACAACCAGUACAGGUGACGGUUGUGGUCUUGUCUCUAGUUGGCCUCUGCGAGUUUGGCGCCUAUAGUCUGUGGUGUACUUGUGGGUAGACUAUCCGACCGUCUUGAAACACGGACCAAGGAGUCUAACAUGUGCGCGAGUCAUGGGGAUUCUACGAAACCCAAAGGCGCAGUGAAAGUAAAGGCCUGCUUCUCGUAGGCUGAGGUGGGAUCUCGUGCAUCGCGAUUGGCGAGCGCACCACCGGCCGUCCUAUCUGUCUCUGUCAGUGGGGCGGCGCAAAGCGUACACGUUGGGACCGCGAAAGAUGGUGAACUAUGCUUGCGCAGCUCGAAGUCAGUGAACACUGAUGGAGGAGCGCAGCGUUUCUGACGUGCAAAUCGAUCGUCAAACGUGAGUAUAGGGGCGAAAGACUAAUCGAACCAUCUAGUAGCUGGUUCCUCUCCGAAGUUUCCCUCAGGAUAGCUGCACUCGGGAAACAGUUUUAUCCGGUAAAGCGAAUGAUUAGAGGCAUUGGGGUCGAAACGACCCUCGACCUAUUCUCAAACUUUAAUGGGUAAGAUGCUCGUCUCGCUUAAUUGGAGCGGCUUCACCUCUCUAUAUAACGUGAAUGUGAGUGCCCAGUGGGCCAUUUUUGGUAAGCAGAACUGGCGCUGUGGGAUGAACCAAACGCGCGGUUAAGGCGGCCCAAUGCGGACGCUCAUGAGACCCACAAAAGGUGUUGGUCGAUACUGACAGCAGGACGGUGGCCAUGGAAGUCGGAAACCCGCUAAGGAGUGUGUAACAACUCACCUGCCGAAUCAACCAGCCCUGAAAAUGGAUGGCGCUGGAGCGUCGGGCCUAUACCGUGCCGUUGGGGCGAAGCAGACAAAAUAAUCUGUGUGGAUGUCCCAACGAGUAGGAGGGUCGCCGUGGUGAGCGCAGAAGGUGCGGCCGUGAGGCCGGCUGGAGCCGCCACGGGCGCAGAUCUUGGUGGUAGUAGCAAUUACUCAAGUGAGAACCUUGAGGACUGAAGUGGAGAAGGGUUCCAUGUGAACAGCAGUUGAACAUGGUCAGGCGGUCCUAAGCGAUCGGGUAACUCCGUACCUAGACGAGGGUGACAACUAUCACUGAUAAUACUGUGAAGUGUUAUAGCCCUCCGGAGCGAAAGGGAAUCGUGUUAAUAUUCACGACCCUUACCGUGGAGAAUCGCCCCUUUCGGGGGGCAAGUGCGGUAACGCAAACGAACAGCAGAGACGUCGGCUGGAGCCCCGGGAAGAGUUCUCUUUUCUUUGUAAGGAGCGUACCCCCCUGGAAUCGGCUUGUCCGGAGAUAGGGGCGUGCUUCCGUAAAGCAGCGCGGUCUGCGUCGCCCUUUCGAGUGGCCGAGACAGUGUGUUGAAGUGCUGGAGCAGGUCACGGCCGCCGCGAGGGCCAGCCGUUUUGU